rnacentral:ncRNA from 1 species
GCCAGAAGAGGCGCGUCGUCCAGGUAGAGUGUCAGAGGAGCCGUUUCUCCGUUGACGGCACCCGAGGGGGAGCGACGCCGAGGUAGGGUAAUGGCCGGCCAUUAUCGUAUCGACUACAGGGGCUGAAUCCCCUGGGUUGUCACCAGGGGAUCGCCCACAGGGCGAUCGACAAGGUGGGGCGCUUCUGGGU